GCUUACGGCCAUACCACUUAGGCACGCCCGAUCUCGUCUGAUCUCGGAAGCUAAGCAGGGUCGGGCCUGGUUAGUA
rnacentral:rRNA from 10 species